AAGACUAUAGACCUGCGGAGUACCUGCGGAAGGAUCAUUAACGUAUCUAUGAUGGGGUGCGGAGCGCCCUGCUCCGGUCGAACGGCCGUGCAGCGGGUGCGCCGCCCCCGUCCCACCUCACAAACCCACUGUGAACAUUCACCGGUGGAGGGGGCUCGGUCUGCGCCGUGUCCCCGAUGCCGAAUACCCAAACUCCAGUCGCAAAGAACGUCGUGCGGACUCGGUGCCGCCUAAAACAUG
rnacentral:misc_RNA from 1 species